UUAUUUUCCACCACAAUCUAGAACUUCUUCCCUUUAUUAUUAAAAACUGAUUUUCAUUAUGCUAUUAUGUUUCCAGUUAGCAAUCGGAGUCUCGGUGACAUGAACAAUAUGUUAUGAGAGACCGGUCAAUCAAUCUUUGAGCAACACAACUGCUGAGACGUGUCCUUGCGCACCACAGUCACCGACGAAGUCAACUAUUAGAUUUUUAAACUUAAGUGAACUAAUACGUGGGGUCCAUGCAGAAGAGACGGAAUCAUUCUCGAGCGUUAGAUUCUAGUUUCAUGGGACCUGUGUUCAUUUGUGUGGUCUCUUGUCUUAUCCAAACCUCUUUUCAAUACGUAAUUAUUGAAAAUUUACUCCAAUAAAAUAGUUUUUUUAUAUUUAAACUAAUUGUGAAUGAGUAAUCCAGAUUCCAUUGCAAAGGUAAUUGAUAACUUUUAUUUAUAAAUUGUAAAGUACUGGUGAAUUUAAAUUUAUUUAUUUGAUUUUUUUGUUGUUUCCA